UACGGACUGAGCUAAGUAGUAGAAUCAGUGACAGACUGAUACAAGCCAAGGGACGGCAGAAUAAGGAAAGCUCCAAAAAUCUCUCAAAGAAAAAGUUUGGUCAACCUUGUAGGGGAACCAGCCCGCUAUACCACCCGUGGUUCUCCCCUUCCCAGUGGAGACGAGGGAAUGAGAAAAGAAAUAAAGACAAACACACAAAGUUCAAGAGUUAACAAAAGUGGGUCCAGGGGUCCAUCGCAAUGUGGAAACUGUGACAGCCCUGAGCUCUGGAUUCCACUGAUAUUUACUGAAUAAUCGUUAAAGUCCAACUAAGUGGUUAACAGAACAGGACGUGAAAGCAGACAGCCCGUCAGAUCACAGGCCUGUGCAUCAAAGGAGCGGUCCACUCCAAGCACCAUCAGCAGAGCAGCAGAGCUCUCUGCCUCUGGGAACGAGCGAGAGAUAGAAGACUUUCUCCUUAUCCUCAGAGGACUUCUCUUUUACAAGCAGCCUCCUGCUGUUCCCUUCUGGGGAAUGGAGCAGGGGUCGCUUCCCUUCCCAUGAGACCUUUGUUCAGGGACUCAAGUGGGAGGUUGAGCAAUAAGCAAGCUUUCUUGCUUAGAGGCUCCGCACACUUCCUGCGGUUGUUUGUUCCACCCUGCGGUUAGUCAGGCAAGCUCACCGCCUGAUUCUUAUAUUGCUGGACUAAGCAGAAGCUAUUCUUCUGAUUCAUGACUAUAUUAAUAAAGCACUAUUCUAAAGC